UUGUUUGACAGAGAAAAUCCUCUAGACGGUUUGUCGGAAAUGGAGGUUUAUAGGAGAUACCGAUUUAUUCCGGCAACUAUACUGACCUUAUUAAAUUUGGUCGCCGAUUCUCUGGACUUUGGAACGCUGAGGAAUUCUCCUCUCCUGCCGAUCCAGCAGCUGUGCAUAUUUCUUCGUGCCAUGGCGACUGGAUCCUUCCAACUAGUCGUAGGAGACACUGUUCGAGUCAGUCAGCCAUCCGUAUCAAGAUGCUGCCGACGAGUUGGACGAGCAAUAGCUCGACUAGCUCGCCGUUACGUACGGUUUCCUGACAGGGAAGAGUGCAAAACUCUAAAAUCCAGAUUUCAGUCCAUUGCUGGUGAGUGCCAGAUUUGUGUUUGUCUAAAUGACCUUGACUGAGAACAUUUAUCCAAGGGAAAUCAUUCACUUGCACUUCAUUUUUGUGGGGGCAUUGUCGUCGUUAUUGCAUAAACAACAUACGCAGAUUUCCAAAUGUAAUCGGACUGAUUGAUGGAACUCAUGUUCGCAUUCAAAGGCCAAAGAACCACGAAGCCGAUUUCAUAAAUAGAAAAGGCUACCAUUCUUUGAACGUGCAAAUGGUAUGUGACCACAGCAAAAAAGUGAGGAGCUUAACAGCUAAAUGGCCAGGAAGCACACAUGAUGCGAGAAUAUGGAGAGAGUGUCAUCUACGGAACCAGUUCGAACAAGG